GUUUCCGUAGCUCAAUUGGAUAGAGCGUCGGCCUCCGGAGCCGAAGGUUGCAGGUUCGAGCCCUGCCGGAAACG
rnacentral:tRNA from 1 species